GAUGAACGCUGGCGGCGUGCCUAAUACAUGCAAGUCGAGCGAACAGACGAGGAGCUUGCUCCUCUGACGUUAGCGGCGGACGGGUGAGUAACACGUGGAUAACCUACCUAUAAGACUGGGAUAACUUCGGGAAACCGGAGCUAAUACCGGAUAAUAUAUUGAACCGCAUGGUUCAAUAGUGAAAGACGGUUUUGCUGUCACUUAUAGAUGGAUCCGCGCCGCAUUAGCUAGUUGGUAAGGUAACGGCUUACAAAGGCAACGAUGCGUAGCCGACCUGAGAGGGUGAUCGGCCACACUGGAACUGAGACACGGUCCAGACUCCUACGGGAGGCAGCAGUAGGGAAUCUUCCGCAAUGGGCGAAAGCCUGACGGAGCAACGCCGCGUGAGUGAUGAAGGUCUUCGGAUCGUAAAACUCUGUUAUUAGGGAAGAACAAAUGUGUAAGUAACUAUGCACGUCUUGACGGCACCUAAUCAGAAAGCCACGGCUAACUACGUG
rnacentral:rRNA from 1 species